rnacentral:rRNA from 1 species
UACGUAGGGGGCAAGCGUUGUCCGGAUUUAUUGGGCGUAAAGAGCGUGUAGGCGGCCAUACAGGUCCGUUGUGAAAACUGGAGGCUUAACCUCCAGACGUCGAUGGAAACCGUAUGGCUAGAGUCCGGAAGAGGAGAGUGGAAUUCCUGGUGUAGCGGUGAAAUGCGCAGAUAUCAGGAAGAACACCCGUGGCGAAGGCGGCUCUCUGGGACGGUACUGACGCUGAGGAACGAAAGCUAGGGGAGCAAACGGG